rnacentral:rRNA from 1 species
ACGGCGUCGAGCGGCGGACGGGUGAGUAAUGCCUGGGAAAUUGCCCUGAUGUGGGGGAUAACCAUUGGAAACGAUGGCUAAUACCGCAUAAUAGCUUCGGCUCAAAGAGGGGGACCUUCGGGCCUCUCGCGUCAGGAUAUGCCCAGGUGGGAUUAGCUAGUUGGUGAGGUAAGGGCUCACCAAGGCGACGAUCCCUAGCUGGUCUGAGAGGAUGAUCAGCCACACUGGAACUGAGACACGGUCCAGACUCCUACGGGAGGCAGCAGUGGGGAAUAUUGCACAAUGGGCGCAAGCCUGAUGCAGCCAUGCCGCGUGUAUGAAGAAGGCCUUCGGGUUGUAAAGUACUUUCAGCAGUGAGGAAGAUGGUGUACUUAAUACGUGCAUCAUUUGACGUUAGCUGCAGAAGAAGCACCGGCUAACUCCGUGCCAGCAGCCGCGGUAAUACGGAGGGUGCGAGCGUUAAUCGGAAUUACUGGGCGUAAAGCGCAUGCAGGUGGUUUGUUAAGUCAGAUGUGAAAGCCCGGGGCUCAACCUCGGAAUUGCAUUUGAAACUGGCAGACUAGAGUACUGUAGAGGGGGGGUAGAAUUUCACGUGUAGCGGUGAAAUGCGUAGAGAUCUGAAG